GUGUCAGCCGCCGCGGUAAUACGGAGGGUGCGAGCGUUGUCCGGAAUCAUUGGGUGUAAAGGGUGCGUAGGCGGGCUGCUAAGUCUGGGGUGAAAUCCUGCCGCUUAACGGUAGAAUGGCCCCCGAUACUGGCAGUCUUGAGUACAGAAGAGGUCGGUGGAAUUCGUAGUGUAGCGGUGAAAUGCAUAGAUAUUACGAAGAACACCAGUGGCGAGGGCGGCCGGCUGGUCUGUAACUGACGCUGAGGCACGAAAGCGUGGGGAGCGAACAGGAUUAGAUACCCUGGUAGUCCACGCCGUAAACGAUGAGGGCUAGUUGUCGGGCGGCUUGCCGUUCGGUGACGCAGCUAACGCAUUAAGCCCUCCGCCUGGGGAGUACGGUCGCAAGAUUAAAACUCAAAGGAAUUGACGGGG
rnacentral:rRNA from 1 species